UCAAAAAUAGCCAGCCACUUUCAGAUAGGUAGCCACAGAUAUAACAUCACUAAGGCAGAACGAUACCCAAACUAUAGCUGAUUUUCCAUAACUUGAGUACCAUAAAUAAUAAUCCAGUACAAUGAAAGAUAAUAGGCCUAAUUCAAAGGUUUAUCCUGAGCCAGCAGAAACCCCCUAGUGACAGAUAAAGAGAAACCCUAGUUUAAAUGAUCCAAUCUCAUAGACCGCUAAACCAAAUCUGAUCCAAUCCCAUAUAAACAACCCUCGUGAAUCAGAUACGAUCACUAUAGACAGAUAAAACCCCUAGUUGCUGCGGUGAGGGCCAAACAGAGGGACAUCUGGAAUGAACCCACCCAUCUCUGGAGCAGCAACGGGUGGAUAGUUGCUGCGGUGAGGGCCAAACAGAGGGACAUCUGGAAUGAACCCACCCAUCUCUGGAGCAGCAACGGGUGGGGCCUGGACGACGGGUGGGGCAAUGGCCUGGGCGACGGGUGGGGCGAUGGCUUGGGCGUCGGCAGGGGCGACGGGUGGGGCCUGGACGACGGGUGGGGCGAUGGCCUGGGCGCCGGCUGGGGCGAUGGCCUGGGCGCCAGCUGGGGCGACGGCCUGGGCAGCACCAGGUAGCUUACGCCCUGCAUGCAGAAAUUAAGAUUACUCCACAAGACAGUUAUAAAUUAUUAUUGUAACACUGUAAAUUAGAAAAAUUGAAAAUCAACACUGAUAUAGUUUCAUGUUCCAAGUUGCAUCCUUUGGUAACAAGUAAACUCUAAAUAACAGUGCUCUUAUUUAUGAUGUAGGAUCACAGUGCUUGAUUCCUAAGCAAAAAUAGCAUAUUUUAGAAAUCAGCACAAUACUCCUAUUGAUGUAAUAUCACAUGAUUCCUGAUCAAUGUCAGGUUAUCUACAGAGUAUGUGAACACACAAUGUCAGGUUAUCUACAGAGUAUGUGAACACACUUCAGCAAUCAGUUGGUGGAUGACCAGAAUCUAAUCAAAUAAAAAAGACUAGAUCUAACUAGCAAAGACAACUUGAGUCCAAAUGAUAUAUCGUUGUCUACUACAGGGAAUCUCCAAACAAUAUUUGCUAUUUGGUCACUCUGCCACAAGGCAAAACCAUUUACGUUAUGCCAUUUGGUAUCAUAAAGAUACAUUGCUAGAACAUGGAAUCAAACAUACCUGCUGCCCGAUCUCUGUAUGCUUUUUUGUUUUUCGACCGACGCUCUCUGCGAGAGGGGUAUACCCGGGGAGGAGGGGGUUCCACGUUGGCUCCCUCCACAGCGAACAUGG
rnacentral:lncRNA from 1 species